AACGAACGCUGGCGGCAGGCUUAACACAUGCAAGUCGAGCGCCCCGCAAGGGGAGCGGCAGACGGGUGAGUAACGCGUGGGAAUCUACCCAUCUCUACGGAAUAACGCAUGGAAACGUGUGCUAAUACCGUAUACGUCCUUCGGGAGAAAGAUUUAUCGGGGAUGGAUGAGCCCGCGUUGGAUUAGCUAGUUGGUGGGGUAAAGGCCUACCAAGGCGACGAUCCAUAGCUGGUCUGCGAGGAUGAUCAGCCACACUGGGACUGAGACACGGCCCAGACGCCUACGGGAGGCAGCAGUGGGGAAUAUUGGACAAUGGGCGCAAGCCUGAUCCAGCCAUGCCGCGUGAGUGAUGAAGGCCCUAGGGUUGUAAAGCUCUUUCACCGGUGAAGAUAAUGACGGUAACCGGAGAAGAAGCCCCGGCUAACUUCGUGCCAGCAGCCGCCGUAACAC
rnacentral:rRNA from 1 species